UGCCAGCCGCCGCGGUAAUACGGAGGGUGCAAGCGUUACUCGGAUUUACUGGGCGUAAAGGGCGCGUAGGCGGUUUGGCAAGUCUGAUGUGAAAGCCCACGACUUAAUCGUGGAAGUGCAUUGGAUACUGCCAGGCUAGAGUACAGGAGGGGUGAGCGGAAUUCCAGGUGUAGAGGUGAAAUUCGUAGAUAUCUGGAGGAACAACGGAGGCGAAGGCGGCUCACUGGACUGUUACUGACGCUGAUGCGCGAAAGCGUGGGGAGCAAACGGGAUUAGAUA
rnacentral:rRNA from 1 species